CCUACGGGAGGCAGCAGUAGGGAAUCUUCCACAAUGGACGAAAAUCUGAUGGAGCAACGCCGCGUGAAUGAAGAAGGCCUUCGGGUCGUAAAAUUCUGUUGUCAGAGAAGAACGUGCGUGAGAGUAACUGUUCACGUAUUGACGGUAUCUGACCAGAAAGCCACGGCUAACUACGUGCCAGCAGCCGCGGUAAU
rnacentral:rRNA from 1 species